UACGUAGGGCGCAAGCGUUAUCCGGAAUGAUUGGGCGUAAAGCGUCUGUAGGUGGCUUUUAAGUCCGCCGUCAAAUCCCAGGGCUCAACCCUGGACAGGCGGUGGAAACUACCAAGCUGGAGUACGGUAGGGGCAGAGGGAAUUUCCGGUGGAGCGGUGAAAUGCGUAGAGAUCGGAAAGAACACCAACGGCGAAAGCACUCUGAGCUGGGCCGACACUGACACUGAGAGACGAAAGCUAGGGGAGCGAAUGGGAUCAGAAACCCC
rnacentral:rRNA from 1 species